rnacentral:ncRNA from 1 species
GUAUUGCAAUCUAAAUGUGGGCGGGGAAGAAUCCUUUGCAAACGACUUGAAUGGGAACGGGGUGCUGUAAACAGUAGAGUAGCCUUGUUGCUACGAUCUGCCGAGGUUAAGCCCUUGUUCUAUAGUGUUAU